GCUGCGAUCCCAUGUUUUCGCUCUGGUACUAACUCCUCACACCGACGACGCGCUCGCCGGUGCCCGCACCUGACUACCCCACCGCAUCAGAGACGCCACCACUAUAAUUUCCUCCCGCCGCCGAGUUCCCACGCCCGACUACCCAAAGUACAGCAGAGACACAACUGCUGCAAUCUCCGUCAUAAUCCCCGUGCCCGAUGUCACACGCGCCGGAAGCCGACGAACCGCACACCAACGCUAUGGCCGUCAGCUUGGUCACUCCGCCGUCCUUCCGCCAUCGUCCACAGCGACCUUGCCUCACCACGGGAGCCCGCCCGUUCACUCUGCCGAUAUCCACUGCGUUGCCUGUUGAUGAUUGAAGCUCAACCACAUCUGCAAAGGAGCCGUGUGCGGGAAACACCUCAAGGCUCUCCAUGGGCCACGGCUGCUGAUGUUCGAUGGCAUGCACGGCAAUGGAGCCGGACCGGCAUGGCUGCAUCAUCCUGUAUUCUUGUUAGACCAGGCAGAGGUAAUUUGCAGGUGGCUUGGCAAUCCCAUCCUUGUUCAAAGAAUGCGUAUUGUUAUUCAGUUUGUGAAGUCAUUAAAGAGGAAAUCAUCAAAUGGAUGAAAUAUUAACCGACUGUUGUAUCAGGUCUACAUCUCAUGAAUUUUUUGGCAAAGAGAAAACUACUGAUUAUUGGGAUUAUCUUCA